UUCCUGGUGGUCCAGUGGUUUGGACUUGGCACUUACAUUGCCAGGGGCCCAGGUUCAAUCCCUGGUCAGGGAA